rnacentral:lncRNA from 10 species
UUCUCCUGCCUCAGCCUCCCGAGUAGCUGGAACUACAGGCGCCCGCCAUGAUGCCCGGCUCAUUUUCUGUGUUUUCAGUAGAGACGGGGUUUCACUGUGUUAGCCAGGAAAGUCUUGAUCUCCUGACCUCGUGAUCCUGACCUCGGCCUCCCAAAGUGCUGGGAUUACAGGCGCGAGCCACCGCGCCCGACAGCAGUUAUGAAGUUCUAAAAGCAAGUCUUAAUCAGGAAGUGUCCUUGAUCACCAACGGCUCGCCCAGGCAUGCUGGCUCUCUUCCACUUCCACCUUCCACCAUGGGAUGACGCAGUAAGAAGGCCAUCAGUAGAUGCCAGUCCCUCAACCUUGAACUUUCCAGACGCAGAACUUUAUGCCUCCAUUUUCCUCUGCUGCAUGGCCCCAGGAGAGAUUUUAAUUAGCUUUCUAACCUUGGUCCAGAUUGCACAUGCAAAUGGUAGAGGAUGCAACACCCCCGCUUGUGGAGCUGCCGCUUGUGUCUGGCAUGAAAAUUCACAAGAAGAGAGGAAAUACUGAGGAGAAAAUGGCAGAUUGUGUUUGCUGAAUUUGAUUGACGAAGAAGUCACCAUGAAAAUCACAGUGAACCAUUUGGAAAGCAAACUGCCAAAAAAUAAUAGUUAGUCAUGCUCUCAGGCUGGUUGUUUUGGCUGUUGUGGGUUUCUUGCAUUUCCAGAUGAUUGCAAAGAGCUGUUUCUCAAUUUCUGCAACAAGUGCCAGCUGAAAUUUUGGUACCAGUUUCAUUAAAUAUGUAGAACAAUUUGAGCCUGAGUGAGUUCUGUGGAGCCCAUACUACCUGCGAUUCAAGCCAGCAACCUUGGAAUCUCCCUGAACAAUUUCUAUGGUGUCCAAUCACAUUUGCAAUCACUCCCCACACUCAGUAGGUUCUGCCCCCACAUCAUUUCUUUUCUCUAUCCUCUUUCCCAGCUUUAUAAUAUGACUUAGUUCAAGCCCUAAUCACUGGAUUAUUCAAAGUCCCUUAACAGGUUAAUUCCUACUGUGAUCAACACUUUAAAGGAAGGCAAUAGGGCCAGGCAUGGUGGCUCACGGCUGUAAUCCCAGCACUUUGGGAGGCUGAGGCGAGUGGAUCACAAGGUCGGGAGUUUGAGACCAGCCUGACUAACACAGUGAAACCCCGACUCUACUAAAAAUACAAAAAAUUAGCCAGGUGUGGUCGUGGGUACCUGUAGUCCCAGCUACUAGGGAGGCUGAGGCAGGAGAAUGGCGUGAACCCGAGAGGCGGAGCUUGCAGUGAGCCAAGAUUACGCCACUGCACUCCAGCCUGGGUGACGGAGCGAGACUCCAUCUCAAAAAAAAUAAAAAAUAAAUAAAACAGAAAGGCAAUGGCUAUCCCAAAUUGCUGAAGCCUUUGCUAAAAGCACAGACAGAAAACAACAAUAUGGUGAUGUUUGUGUUAAACAAAUGUUAUUGAUUCUAGGACACAGGUCAGAUGGCAAAUAGUCAAACUCAAAUGUUGAUCCCAGGGGUGGCUGUAUCAUCACUAAGGCCAAAUCACAACUUUGACUGGUCUCAUGGGAACACAGAUCUUGGGUUUGGAAAGAGCACAGGCCUGGCCAUGGGAAUGGACACAGGGUAAUUUUAAGAUGACUAGAGGUUCCUCAAACCCUAAAAGUACCACUGAACCUUGUUUAAAGCUAAAAUGGCUCCUAAAUGAUAGACACGUUUCUCAGUUAUCUCUGCAAACUGAAGAUCCUAUCAGCCUGUUCAGGGUCUCACAGGCCUCUGGGUUUGUACAUGAUGUCCCUACAGUGGCGAUGGGGACUGAUGAGAGCCACCGUUCCCAUUGGAGGAGGGCAAGCUGCCACUGAGUGUCAGCUGCUGGAGUAAACAUCCAAUCACAUGUGUACCUGUAUCCUAUGGAUAUUGGCUUCCCCUCAUACAACUUGUUGUUCCUUUGUUUUCCAUUCCUGACUAUAUUUGAAUCUUUCUUGGAUUUCCAGGAAACAUCUGACUGCUUUCCUAUGCCACUUCAUACCCAAGAGAAGCUCAGGGAGAUCCUUUAAGGUCCUUUAUGCCCAUUAUGAUAGUACAUGAAUAGGUAAAUGUACCACUGCUCCCUGUACUUCUUGGAUAAUGCACAAAUAGUAAGACAGUCUCGCAACCAGCAGCCUAGACAGCCCAAAUAUGUGAAACCAAAACAGCUUGAUCUUCCAGACCUGUUCUGACUCCUUGAGUCUUAAAUCUCCAAGCCUCUUGAAUGUUUCACCCACAGCCUUCCCUUUGGGAUCUGGCAUGGGACAGGAAGGGCAGAGAAGGGCCUGGGGCUUUUCCUCAGGGAUCCACCACAGUCUAGGCCAGUGGGUGGCAAACUUUUUCUGCAAAGGAUCAGCUGGGAGAUAGUUUCAACUUUGUAGUCUCGUCGCAGCUACUCUACUCGACUCUGCCACUGGAGUGUGAAUGCAGUCAUGAAUAAAAGAAUGAAAGUUUUCCAGUGAAACUUUAGUCACAAAAACAGUCUGCAGGCUGUGUCUGGCCCGUGGGCUUUGGUUUGCUGGCCUGCGGGCUCCUAGAAGGCUCUGACUUUAUCCCUCUAUGAGGGAAAGCAGGUUUUGGGGUAUUCUCCCAAAUCUUUAUACCUUAUGUCUGUGUCUCUUUUUAAAUUAAAAGUAAAAUUUAGGCCA